rnacentral:rRNA from 1 species
UACGUAGGGUGCGAGAGUUGUCCGGAAUUAUUGGGCGUAAAGGGCUCGUAGGCGGUUUGUCGCGUCGGGAGUGAAAACCUCGGGCUUAACCUGGGAACUGCGCUUGUAACUGGCAAGCUUGAGUGUGGCAGAGGGGGGUGGAAUUCCACGUGUAGCAGUGAAAUGCGUAGAGAUGUGGAGGAACACCGAUGGCGAAGGCAGCCCCCUGGGCUAACACUGACGCUCAUGCACGAAAGCGUGGGGAGCAAACAGG